AUGCCCGCGCCAUGCCGCCGGCCGCUGCUCGCGCCAGGCUGUGCCUCCUCCACCCCCGCCGCGCCGGGACUUGGUCACCGGCCGGUCUCGGCUUCUCCACCGCUGCGCCGCUCGGAGCACGCCUCCGUCCCUGGCGUGGCUGUUGUCAAUGGCGAUGGAUGCGGUGCGCGGCUCCCUCCCGUGCGAUGCAUCGGCCUUUGGGCUCGAUGCGGCCGUGGCCCUUGGCCCCGACGACAAGAGCAUCUUCGCUCUCUAACGGCUAGUCAUAGCGGGAGUAACUUAGAUAGUAACAUAGCGCAUUUCGAUUUUUUUUUGCUUAUGUGGCAUGUAGUUAACGAGAAGUAA
rnacentral:rRNA from 1 species